CUGUUUUAAAUUUGUAUUUUUAAUACAAAACAAAAUUAAUUAUUAUUUCAAACAUGGCCGAUAAAGGAGGCUAUAAUCCCUACGACAAUCGAGAUGUUGAAAAGCCGCUGUCUGACUUUGGAGCCUUUGUGUCGCUCCUUAAAUGCGUGGUGGGAACUGGAUGUUUGGCCUUGCCCAUGGCUUUUUAUUUUGCAGGAAUGAUCAACGGUGCCUUUUUGCUCACCUUGUGCUGCUUCGUGCUGAUCCAUGGCAUGCAGUUGUUGGUUAUGUCCUUGGUCGAGUGCUCCCGUCGAAUGCAAGUGGGCUAUGCCACGUAUCCCGAGGGGGUGAACUAUGCCUUUAACCAGGGACCAAAUGUAUUUAAAAAGUGCGCCAAAGCUGGAAGCUAUAUAGUCGAUAUAAUACUGUGUUGUUCACACUUCGGGGUGUGUGUCGUAUAUAUUGUUUUUGUGUCAGCCAACAUUAAGCAGCUUUUUGACUACCAUUGGACCGUUCUUGAUUUGCGGGCUUAUAUAGCCAUCAUAGGACUCUUAUUAAUCCCCUUCUUUAUGAUUCGCCAGUUAAAGUACCUUGUACCCACAAAUUUGCUGGCCACUGUUCUUAUAUACCUCGGUUUCAUUAUGAUGAUGUACUUUGUAUUCUCGGACUUACCCUCGAUAUCGGACCGUUCUAUUUUCUUUGGUGAAAUAGAAAAGUUGCCUUUAUUUUUUGGCAUCGCCUUGUUCUCCAUAACGUCGGUGGGCGUGAUGCUGGCAAUCGAAUCCCAGAUGGAGAAGCCACAACAUUACAUCGGUUGGUUUGGCGUUCUCGAUAAGGCCAUAGUGUUGGUGUUGAUCUCGUACAUUUUCGUUGCCAUUAUGGGCUAUUGGCGAUAUGGGGAGGAAAUACAAGACAGUUUAUCCCUAAACAUUCCCUCGGAUGAAGUAGUUUCUCAAGUGGCAAAAGCCUUCAUCGCCAUCGACAUUUUCCUGACCUAUCCGUUGUCCGGUUACGUGGUAAUCGACAUUAUAAUGAACCACUGUUGGAAUAAGAAUAAAGAACUAAAGCAUCCGGUGCUGAAGGAGCUGGUGAUUCGGGUGGCUUACGUCUUGUGUACUACCAUAACUGGUUUAAUAUUUCCGAAUCUGGGUCCUUUGCUGUCCUUGGUUGGAGCUUUCACUAUAUCGCUGCUGAACUUGGUGUUUCCCCCUAUGAUCGACAUUUGUCUGUAUUAUCCGCCGGAAUAUAACUACGGAAAACUGAAGUGGAAGCUCGUGAGGGACAUCCUUCUCAUAGUCAUUGGCAUUCUCAUUUUAGUGAAUGGAACCUCUUUUGCGAUAAUGGAAAUGAUUAAUAAGUGGGGUUUUGAGUCAGAGACCACAACUGAAGAACCAACUACCGAGGCGAGCACAAUGGCAGACAACACCACCGCCGCCGCAAUGAAAACCACCGCUGUUGCAGGGGAAGGAGCUGCCAUAAGGUUUUUCUAAGAAAAACAAAUUCCUCAGAAAUUUUCAGUGAUAUACCUAUUUUAUUUUCUCUGAUAUCGAGCAUGGUUAUUCGAUAGAAAAAAAAAUCAAAUUACAAGUCUUCCUAAUUUCAACGAGCUUCAAGCAACACAGCCAAUAAGAAACUUCCCCCUCUUUUUUGGCACUGGUCUCUUUGCCAUUGAAUCGGUUGGAGUGAUCCUUGCGCUUGGUCGCAGUAUGAAAACACCACAAAACUUCUUGGGUUUCCUGAGGAGUUUUGAAUCAAGGAAUGUUCGUGGUUAUUAUUUUUUAAGCCGUCUUUGGUUUUAUUAGUUAUUGACGUUAUCUUUCUACCAGAAAAAGAAAUGUAAAAAAUAAUUUUAUUUUAAA